AUGCGGAUAGCUUAGACAUAUUUUAUUUAUUUAUUUAUUUAUUUGAGAUUUCAAAUCUUAGACCUGUAUACAGUGUGGAAGAAAUUAAUGCGUAUAGCUUAGACAUAUUUUAUUUAUUUAUUUAUUUGAGAAAUAGCUUAGACAUAUUAAGAUAGAGUUUUGAAUAUUUCUCAAAAAAAAAAAAAGAUAAGAGUUUUGAAUGUGUUUUCAACUUGUAAAAGAAACACCAUUACUAUGUCUAUCUUAAAAAAAGUACUUUCGGUCCUUCUUACGGCCGCCUUGGCUGUGUUACAUUCCUCACUAGGUGUUGCUUCUCUUUCGGUAAAUGAAGAGGCAGAGGCAAAUGCUCUACUCAAUUGGAAAGCCAGUCUUCAAAAUGAAACCCAGUCACACUUGCCUUCAUGGACUCUUCAUCCAAAUAAUGCUACCAAUGCUUCGAGUAAUCAAAAUAAAAGCUUCAUCCCAUGCAGUUGGUUCGGCAUUUCAUGCAACCAAGCAGGUAGUGUUAUUAGAUUAAACCUGACUAACUCAGGCUUGAAAGGUACGCUCCAUGAAUUUUCAUUCUCAUCUCUCCCCAACCUUACAUUUGUUGAUCUUAGCAUGAAUGAAUCCCUGUUGAAAUUAGCAACCUGUCCAAACUUAUAUAUCUUGUUCUAUCCUUCAAUAACUUAUCGGGGGAAAUCCCACCACAGAUUGGCCUACUGACCAAUCUUGUAUGAGGCCUUGUACCUAGCUGAAAAUCAAUUAAAUGGCUCGAUUCCGUGGGAAAUAGGUCAGUUGAAAUCUCUCACAGAGCUUUAUUUGUAUGCCAACCACCUCCAUGGCUGCAUUCCUGCUUCAUUAGGUGAUUUGAGCUACUUGACUCACUUAUAUCUCAGCAAUAAUUCCAUUGUGUGUACCAUUCCUGCAUCUUUAGGUAAUUUAAGCAACUUGGCUUAUUUGUACCUACGUCAUAAUCAACUUUCUGGUUCCAUUCCUCCAGAAAUCGGAAACCUCUCCAAUUUAUUUAAAUUAGACACAUCAAAAAAUAAUCUUACAGGUCUCAUCCCAUCUACUAUUGGAAACAUAGAGAAGCUAAUCAUGUUGCAUAUGUAUAAAAAUCAUCUGUUUGGCUCUGUUCCCCAAGAAAUAGGAAAUUUGAAGUCUCUUAUCUAUUAAAGCCUUCAUACAAAUAAUCUUUCUGGUUUGAUUCCCACAUCACUAGGUGCUCUAAGCAACCUAACUGUUUUACACAUGUACAACAAUCAACUCUCAGGCACCAUUCUUGAAGAAUUAGGAAACUUGAAGUCCAUAAAUGAUCUUGAACUGAGUAGAAAUCAGUUGACUGGUACUGUUCCAAAUUCCUUGGGUAAGUUGAGCAACUUAAAAUUUUUAUACCUCCGUGAUAACCAACUUUUUGGUCCCAUUCCGCAAGAGAUUGGAAAUCUAAUGAACUUGAGUGAGUUGCAGCUGGAUACCAACCACUUCAUUGGGUUUUUACCUCAAAACUUAUGCCAAAGUGGAUCUCUACAAUACUUUAGUGCAGACAACAACCAUCUCAUAGGUCCAUUACCCAAAACAUUGAGAAACUGCACAAGCUUAAUCAGACUCCGCCUUGAAAGACCAACUCUCUGGAAAUAUAUCCGACGAUUUUGUUGUCAACGAAAAUCUGCAAUUCAUGGACCUAAGUUACAAUAGAUUUUAUGGUGAAAUCUCACAAAAUUGGAGCAGGUGCACAUGAUUGUCCAGCCUACAGAUUGCUGGGAGCAAUAUCACUGGUGGCAUACCAUUUGAAAUUGGAGACUUCACUUUUCUCCAAUUGCUUGAUCUUUCUUCAAAUCGAUUGGUUAGGGAGCUACCAAUGGAGUUUGGAAAGUUGAUUUCUAUGCAGAAGUUGAUGUUGAAUGGAAAUAAACUUUCUGGUGAUAUAACCUUAGAGCUUGGAUCAUUUGAAAGACUUGAGUAUCUAGAUCUAUCCACUAAUAGAUUUGGCAAGUCAAUCCCUACAAAUAUAGGGAACCUUUUGAAACUACAUUACUUAAAUCUGAGAAACAAGUUCAAACUCAACAUUCCAAUCCAAAUUUGUGAAUUAACUCACUUGUCCCAGUUAGACUUGAGCCAUAACUCACUCAAAGGAGAGAUUCCUUCACAAAUUAACAAUAUGCAGAACUUGGAGUUGUUGAAUGUCUCCCACAAUAACCUCUCCGGUCUUAUUCAACUACUUUUGAAACGAUGCAUGGCUUGUUGUAUGUCAAUAUAUCCUACAAUGAGUUGGAGGAUCCUCUUCCCAAUAGCACAGCUUUUCAAGAGGCUUACAUAGAAGCAUUACAAGGUCUGGGAUUAUACUGGCUUGGGACACACAAGAUACAAUGCACAGGAUAUAAAUAAAGAAGUUCUAGGGUGUGUAGUCGAGAAUAAGGUUCUUCAUGGUUCCCUGCUGUCAUGU